CCUACGGGAGGCAGCAGUAAGGAAUAUUGGACAAUGCUCGCAAGAGUGAUCCAGCCAUGCCGCGUGCAGGAAGAAUGCCCUAUGGGUAGUAAACUGCUUUUGAACUAGAGAAAAUCCCAGUACGUGUACUGGGCUGAUAGUAUAGUUAGAAUAAGCAUCGGCUAACUUCGUGCCAGCAGCCGCGGUAAGACGAAGGAUGCAAGCGUUAUCCGGAUUCAUUGGGUUUAAAGGGAGCGUAGGUGGACUGAUAAGUCAGUGGUGAAAUCUCCGAGCUUAACUCGGAAAUUGCCAUUGAUACUGUUGGUCUUGAGUACAGUUGCUGUGGGCGGAAUAUGACAUGUAGUGGUGAAAUACAUAGAGAUGUCAUAGAACACCGAUUGCGAAGGCAGCUCACAAAGCUGUAACUGACACUGAGCUCGAAGUAGCGGGAGUACAACAGAGUAGUAUACCUCGUAGUCCGCGACCGUAACCGAGUAGUAUUACUCGUCUGCGUAGGGGCGGAACCGUUACGUUGGUCGUUAGACGAAGGACGA
rnacentral:rRNA from 1 species